ACUGUGCUGGAGGCCAAGUCAGGGCUACACGCCCAAGCCAACAGCAGUCCCAACUUGCAUGACCCUCCCCUGGGGCCCAGCAGCGGUAGCCUGUGCUCUGGUCUCUCUCCAUUCCUCCUCUAAACAACUUGGCAUUAUCAAUUUCCCUGCCUCCAGCAGGCCAGAUCAGUGGCUUUAUUCACACAGCACCUUGCAACAGGUCAGCAAGCAUGGUGCUGCUUCGAGCUGAAUUUGACUCCACUGCCACGCUGGCUAAAAAGUGCAAAAUUUGAAUCUGGCUUUCAAGCCCCCCUUUGUUCUGUAUUCUGUAAAGCGUCCCAAUUCAGGUGUUUGCAAAAUAAAUCUGUGACUUCAAGAAAGAAAUCAAAGACUUGUGUAGCUGUUACUUGAAGUAGAGUACAUUGGAGUAAAGAAGACUCUGUGUGAAUUAACAAUGAGACACAAAUGAGCAUGCAUAAGUGUGUGGUUAUGAACAUCUGUUUCAGGUACAUCAUUAGGUCACAAAAAGCCAGAAUCUGCUCCCACUCAAGUCAAUUUGAAUUUUGCAAUUGACUUAAAUAGAAGCAAAUUUGACUCCUUACAGAGGCAUGUGAAAAAAUACUCAUGACCAGAGAGUAUUCCUUUUUGAAAAAAGAGAGUGUAAUCUUAGAGUUGCUUGGACUAGAGAUUUGGAUACGCAACUAUCUCUGACCCAAGGGAAUACAAAUGUAUUUAAUGUUAAAAAAGCAACUAUAGAUCUGAGGCUAGGCUUAUUUAUCAAAAAACACUUUUUCAAAUAUAGGGUCCCCACAUAGGCUAAUGGUAAUGGGCCUCAUAAAUGCUGACUGCUGUUGUAACUGUAACUUCCUUGGUGCUACAUUAGCUCAUAUGUUUUGGGAGUGUCCAGUAUCAAGAAUUUCUGAUACAAGCUGAGUCAAAGGGCCAACUUGAUGCUAAACUGGAGCCCUACUCCUUAAGUUUCACUCUUGGAUAUAUUCCUGAUGCCUCUAGGUUACCUAGUAAAAAAGCAGCGUGGUUCCAAUAUACAGAUUAACGAACAAAUUAAACCUGCAAAAAUGGAAAAAUCGAUCCCCACCAGACAUUGAUGACUGGCUCAGUGACAUGGCAGAAAAUGAAUGACUGACAUUUUUCAGUAGGGGAAUGCCUGAAAAAUUCAAAACAAUUUGGGCUGACUUUUUAUGAUUAAGAUAGAACUUGAAAAAUAGAUAUGUUGCUCCCCCGGUCCUCCCUUAAUCCUAAUCCUCUUUAUUUACUUUAUGUAUUAUGAUUAAUUUGGUAU